rnacentral:rRNA from 1 species
UACGUAGGGUGCGAGCGUUAAUCGGAAUUACUGGGCGUAAAGCGUGCGCAGGCGGUUCGCUGUGUCCGAUGUGAAAGCCCCGGGCUUAACCUGGGAAUGGCAUUGGAAACUGGCUCGCUGGAGUGUGGCAGAGGGGGGUGGAAUUCCGCGUGUAGCAGUGAAAUGCGUAGAGAUGCGGAGGAACACCGAUGGCGAAGGCAGCCCCCUGGGCUAACACUGACGCUCAGGCACGAAAGCGUGGGGAGCAAACAGG